GCGCUCUCUUCAGCAAUACAUAAACUAAAAUUGUAGCAAUAAAGAGAAGGUUAGCAAGGACCAUGUGCAAGGAUGACAUGCAAAUGCAUGAAGUAUUCCAUAUUAAC
ensembl:snRNA U6 U6 spliceosomal RNA